GCUUCAUAAAGUACAUACAUACCGAUUUGUCGUUGGUUUUGGUGGAGCUACAUGUACUUAAGUCGGCUUUUAUCCAACCAUUUUUAUGCCCCACCUACGAUAGUAGAGGGGCAUUAUGUUUUCUUGUCUGUGGCUCCGUUCGUUCGUCCGUCCGUCCGUCCGUUCGUUCGUCCGCAGGUUAAAGUUUUUGGUCAAGGUAGUUUUUGAUGAAGAUGAAGUCCAAUCAACUUGAAACUUAGUACACUUGUUGCUUAUGAUAUGAUCUCUAUAAUUUUAAAGCCAAAUUAGACUUUUGACCCC
rnacentral:lncRNA from 1 species